GUUGGAAACAACCCUCAAUGCAACAGUGUUGGAAGGUGGAGACUUUGGGGAGGAGUUUAGGUCAUAAAGGCUUUGCCCUCAUGAAUGGAUUAAUGCCACUACAAAAAGGGUUUGCAGGAGUAGGCCCACUCUCUCUUGUUCUUCUGCCUUCUGACAGGUUCAUUGCUAAGGAAUGGAUUGAAUCAGUACCUAAACCAGCUGACAGCUGCCAUGCUGUAAGAUGGUCCACAAGGCUUUUGGCCAACAACCAAUGAUGGAUUGAGGCCUUCAGUCCAACAACCCACAAGGAACUCAAUCCUGCCAAUGACUAUGUGAACCUGGAAGCAGACCUAUCCUCAGUUGAGCCUCUAGAUGAGAACCCGCCUAUGGCUGACACCUUGAUUUUGCAGCCUUGCAGAGGAUUCAGCUAAGCUGUGCCCAGACUUCUGACCCACAGAAACUGGAUGAAUAAAGAAUGCAUCUUUUGCCAAGUACUGGGUAGAAUUUCCUUGGAGAGACUACAGAAGUGUGAGCAAUUUGGCUCUGUUCAUUACAAACAGGAAAAAUGACCUUGAAUGAAUGAAGUCAUAGUUUGAAGGAAAAACACCCCACAGAUAGAGUGGAGUAGAAAUGAUGAUUCAGUUGGGUUUUGUUUUGUUCCCUUCAGUAAGAUGAAAUAAUUUCAGAAGAAAAACAGAAUGCUGAAAUAGAGGAAUCAAAGGUCAUCUUUUGAGUGUCUAUGGCAGACAUAUGAAGACCACAACUCCCUCCUUGAUGGAACAGGACCCUCGCCCCAGAGUGAGAAAACUGACGCUCAGGCAUCGAUUAGGCAGGGAUGACUAUAAUGUGUUCUCUGCAGUCAGGUGAAGGACUGGUACGCAAUACUAAGUAGAACUGGGAGUAGAGUAUAACCAUCAAUAGCUAUUGUUUGCUACGCUACUUGCUUUUUAUAAAACAUUACCAGUCCUGAGAAGUAUUAGCUGGAGAGUGUGAAGAAAGAACAUUUCAUCAUCUUGCCCAAAUUCACAAAACAAUUAUCCACCUCGCCACACAAUGAAAUCACCAUCUAGUACUUAGUGUGAGCAGUAGAAUUAUACCAACGACAGAGGCGAAAGCAGCAUCCAGCACUGGCUUUGGAUACUGUUCGUAGGUCUAUGGAGGCCCUGAAAAGCUAACAAGAACUAAGCUGAAGAAUCUUCCACUGCUCGUGAAGCUGGCUUUAGGAGUCAGGAGGGAACUAUGCGGUACAAGAACACCUGCUGGAGAACAGCAGGGUAUCAAUAAUAAAUGCUAACCUUUAAAAAGGGGAUUCUUUUGAACACUGACAAGGGCCCUGCAUCUUUUUCUUCUCAUCAGGUGGUUUCACAGAGGAAAGAUUUAGGAUGUGAUUAGAGGACUGAAACAGCCAUGGGCCAUCUCUCCAGAGCGCAGCAGACUUCUAACACAAGGAGGAACUACCACCCUAGCCUGACUUUUGGUUGUCUCCAACUAGUUGAGGAUAUGCUUUCGAGAGCACAUCAACUUUGGUGCAAUGUUGGGGGUGGAAGGGGAGGUUUUGUAUCUGUUUUACAAUUUAGACACACACACACAAGAUUUGAGUUAGAGCACAGAGUAUGCUUAAAACAUGGCAUAGAGUCAUAAGAUGAAACAAAGCCUGCCUCCACUUGUUACUGCUUCCUUUUUGGUGUGUAUGAUCUAUUUCUUCCUAUUUUGUGGAAGCUUGUCAGUCCUCAAACUGGAAGGCUCAAAUACAAUAUUUCAAACUGGCACCAGAUUCAUGUAACCCUAUAGGGCAUGCCAGAAUUCUGGGCAAUCUUUUAAGGAUACAUAGUCCACAGAAUGAAUAAAACCAGCAUCUAUUGCCAGGGCAAAAUUUAGUAUGGGUUUUAGGGGUCAUUGGCUAAAAACAAAAUGCCAAUAUGCUGGCUGAAUCAACUGGGUUUUAUUCAUUUUACAUUCCCAGCAUUAAGCAUAGCUAUUACUAGGCAUUGGGUCAGUUUCAUGGCUGAAGCCUGGUAUUAUCUGGCAUUUCUUUUACUUGAGAAAAGGGAAACAUCUUGAGGACUUGAUUUAAUGUGAAAGAAAUGUAAUUUAAAGGAACUAAAAGGAGAAUGAUUAUCAUUGUUGUUUGCUAACACAUAAAGUAUAGUGAGUUACAUACCAGAAAUUUACUGGUAAAACCAUUUUGUAGGUUAAAAAAAUCAAGUGUAUGUAAGUCACAAUCUCAAAUAUUACAUUCUCACUAACAUCUGUAUAAAAAGAUCUGUCCCCAUAAGAAAAUAAAUUCUUGAACCACAGGGAAACCAAUUUAUCAUUCUGGCUCAUUCUUUUUCCCCUUACCUAAUUUGCUCCCAUUUCUGAACCUCAUUUUCUCUAGUUUGCUCCAAAGCUAUUCUGCUUUUAAUAUCUCACAAGACCUGGAUUGUUUCCUGUGUGCACAACAGGCUUUUAAAAUACAUGGGCUUAACCUGCUACCCAGGUGCACCCUUUUCUCAACAUUUCUCCAUCUCGCA
rnacentral:lncRNA from 1 species